GUAAUUUUUUCGAAAAUUAUAACUGGUAGCGGAACGUUCUGUAAGCCUGUGAAGGGAUACCCGUGAGGGAUCCUGGAGGUAUCAGAAGUGCGAAUGCUGACAUAAGUAACGAUAAAAGAAGUGAAAAACUUCUUCGCCGAAAAUCCAAGGGUUUCUGCGCAAGGUUAAUCCGCGCAGAGUUAGUCGGCACCUAAGGCGAGGGCGAAAGCCGUAGUCGAUGGAAAUAAGGUUAAUAUUCCUUAACCAGAUGGUAGUGACGGAUCUUGUAAGUUGUAAGUUCUUAAUGGAUUGAAUUUGCCGCGAAAAGGUUCCAAGAAAUAGCUCCAUCAUAAGACCGUACCCUAAACCGACACAGGUGGAUUAAUAGAGUAUAUUUAGGCGCUUGAGAGAAUGAUGUUGAAGGAACUCGGCAAAAUACUUCCGUAACUUCGGGAUAAGGAAGACCUUUUUGUAGGCAACUAUAAGAGGGUGGCACAAGCCAGGGAGAAGCGACUGUUUAUCAAAAACACAGGGCUCUGCUAACACGUAAGUGGAUGUAUAGGGUCUGACGCCUGCCCGGUGCUGGAAGGUUAAUGCGGUUGGUGCAAGCUAACUUCUGAAGCCCCAGUAAACGGCGGCCGUAACUAUAACGGUCCUAAGGUAGCGAAAUUCCUUGUCGGGUAAGUUCCGACCUGCAUGAAUGGCGUAACGAUUUCUCCGCUGUCUCCAACAUCAACUCAGUGAAAUUGAAUUCUCCGUGAAGAUGCGGAGUUCGCGUAGUUAGACGGAAAGACCCCGUGCACCUUUACUGCAACUUUACAUUGGUAUUAGGAAAAACAUAUUUAGUAUAGGAGGGAGACAUUGAAGCAAAGGCGUCAGCUUUUGUGGAGUCACCAGUGAAAUACCUCUUUUGUUUUUCUUGGUAUCUAACUGACUGCCGUUAUCCGGCGUCAAGACAUUGUAUGGUGGGUAGUUUGACUGGGGCGGUCGCCUCCCAAAUAGUAACGGAGGCGUGCGAAGGUAGGCUCAGAACGGUCAGAAAUCGUUCGUAGAGUGCAAUGGCAUAAGCCUGCCUGACUGUGAGACUGACAAGUCGAGCAGAGACGAAAGUCGGUCAUAGUGAUCCGGUGGUUCUGAGUGGAAGGGCCAUCGCUCAACGGAUAAAAGGUACGCCGGGGAUAACAGGCUGAUACUGCCCAAGAGC
rnacentral:rRNA from 1 species